rnacentral:rRNA from 1 species
UACGUAGGGUGCGAGCGUUGUCCGGAAUUACUGGGCGUAAAGAGCUCGUAGGUGGUUUGUCGCGUUUGUUCGUGAAAACUCACAACUCAAUUGUGGGCGUGCGGGCGAUACGGGCAGACUGGAGUACUGCAGGGGAGACUGGAAUUCCUGGUGUAGCGGUGGAAUGCGCAGAUAUCAGGAGGAACACCGGUGGCGAAGGCGGGUCUCUGGGCAGUAACUGACGCUGAGGAGCGAAAGCGUGGGGAGCGAACAGG